UACAGAGGUGGCAAGCGUUGUUCGGAAUUACUGGGCGUAAAGGGCGCGUAGGCGGUCUCGUAAGUCCUGUGUGAAAUCCCCCCGGCUCAACUGGGGAACUGCACAGGAGACUGCUUGGCUUGAGUUCGGGAGAGGGGAAGCGGAAUUCCGGGUGUAGCGGUGAAAUGCGUAGAUAUCCGGAGGAACACCGGUGGCGAAGGCGGUUCUCUGGGCAUUACCUGACGCUGAGGAGCGAAAGUGUGGGGGAGCGAACAGG
rnacentral:rRNA from 1 species